rnacentral:rRNA from 1 species
UGGGGAAUCUUGGACAAUGGGGGCAACCCUGAUCCAGCCAUGCCGCGUGAGUGAUGAAGGCCUUAGGGUCGUAAAGCUCUUUCGCCUGUGAAGAUAAUGACGGUAGCAGGUAAAGAAACCCCGGCUAACUCCGUGCCAGCAGCCGCGGUAAUACGGAGGGGGUUAGCGUUGUUCGGAAUUACUGGGCUGUAAAGCGCACGUAGGCGGACCAGAAAGUUGGGGGUGAAAUCCCGGGGGCUCAACCCCGGAACUGCCUCCAAAACUAUUGGUCUAGAGUUCGAGAGAGGUGAGUGGAAUUCCAAGUGUAGAGGUGAAAUUCGUAGAUAUUUGGAGGAACACCAGUGGCGAAGGCGGCUCACUGGCUCGAUACUGACGCUGAGGUGCGAAAGUGUGGGGAGCAAACAGGAUUAGAUACCCUGGUAGUCCACACCGUAAAACGAUGAAUGCCAGUCGUCGGGUAGCAUGCUAUUCGGUGACACACCU